ensembl:lncRNA
GGGCAGCCAUGACAGGAAGGUUGAUGCUUGGCAUUGUUGCGUCACCAUCAAAAUGCCUCUGAUGACGUAAUGAUCAAACACCAAGCUGCCACUGGUGAAAUGACGGAUCAUUAGCUGAUUGAACUACAAGGUGAACGAAUUUAAUGGUGCCGAAAGCCACUUCCUAUUCCAAUAUUCAAGACUAGAGGAGCAUUCUGAUUAGAAUCCUGCAGACCAGUGAAUGAUGAAUAGGAGGCCCAACCUGAUGGGUCUGGAGGACCAAGGUCCAUCGGUGUUCCGCUGCUCUGUCCUUCUCUAACAAGUGCGUUGGAGAGAGAAGAGGUCAGCCAGGCCCCAGUGAUGGCCUCCUCUUUCAGGCCCUCAGCGUUCCCCUCCCUGCAUGUUGUACCCGUGCUCCCCCUCCUGAUGACGUCAGGCCCAAGAGGGCCACAGCUGCCCACAGAAGAGAGAGAGAGACUCCAGUCCCUGUUCCUGUCCAGGUGGUGUCGUGAGUCUCCCGGUUGGUUUAACAGCAGCAGCUCCCAGCUACCUGCCAAAACCAACAGACGCAGGCCGAACAAAGCUUUCCUUCACUGAGGUUCUGAAGAACUACAAGCUUCUGCCUGAUUCCCGGCCCAGCAGCCCAGAGAGCCUGUACCAGCCUGAGACAAUGAUACCUAGAAUCCCUGUCAGCAUCACUAGACCUGAGGGGAGGCCUAGCAACCCUCGACGCCCCACUAGACGGCCUGUUAGCCCCGUAGGCCUGGUCCAACCUGAUGUACAGCCUUCCAGACCUGAGGGGAGGCCUAGCAACCCUCGGCAACCCAGACGGCCUGUUAGACCAGUGGGCCUGGUCCAACCUGAUGUACAGCCUUCCAGACCUGAGGGGAGGCCUAGCAACCCUCUGGGCCCCACUAGACGGCCUGUUAGACCAGUGGGCCUAGUCCAGCCUGAUGUACAGCCUUCCAGACCUGAGGGGAGGCCUAGCAACCCUCUGGGCCCCACUAGACGGCCUGUUAGACCAGUCAGCCUGGUCCAGCCUGAUGUUCAGCCUUCCAGACCUGAGGGGAGGCCUAGCAACCCUCGGAGCACCACUAGGAGAAAAGUUAUGCCCAGUAAUCCUGUGUGUUCCGUUAUGCUCGAGUCCCAACCUACCAGUCCUGUGAGCAUCACUACCAGCACUGUGGAUGUAGUCCAGCCUGAGCCCCGUCCUACCUGCCCUCUGACCCUGGAGGAGCCGGCCCUUUCAGAGUCAUGCAGCUUCAGCAACAAUGUGUUUGUUCUCUCCAUGCCGAAAGCUGCCCAGCCAGAGGAGGCUGCCAGAGGGAGCAGCAGCCCACCCAGGGACAUCAUCAGGCCUGAGGCCUUCGUCCAGACAGGACCCCUGCUGGCCAGGAGAGCCCAGAGGGAUGCUCCUACUCCAAAGGUCCCCAAACCCCCGGUGGCCCCCCGGCCCAAACUGCUGCCCUCCCUGGGCCAGGGCAACGUGUCCCUGGUCAGUGCCAACGCCUGGGAUGAAAGGACCAAGAAGAAGAGAAAGAAAGGAGUCAGAGUUCAGAGGUCUAGCCUGGGUCUGAGGCAUAUCCCCCGUGACCUAGAGCUGGCCAUGAUGAGACCCCGUCUGGUCAAGUCRGCCGUUCCCUCCCAGCAGCCCUACCAGCCGUGGGACGACGAGGACGAGGUGGACAUCUACGCCCUGAGGCGAACAGCCUACAUGUGUCCCAUGUACGACCAGGAGGAGAGCAGCGUCAGGGRCAACAAGAGGGUGGCAGUGGAGGCCCUGGACAACAUUCCUUUCAGAAGGAAGAUCACCUUGUGUUAUUUCAUGGGGGGUCGCAGGGUCAUGCUGCCAAAAGACUACUAACCUCACCCCCCUCAAUUUCCACAACAUACCCCCCUUUGUCCCAGACAGCGAAAAACAGGACACACACAGAGAGACAGUGUGGACACCAACAGGGCCAUCAGAGGGACAGAGACCCUCUCAGUUGAGGUUAGGAAUGUCAGCUACUAAAAGGCUUCUAUAGACCAUCUCUGUAGCAAGAGAACCUCCAGUGAUCAGACUGGGCUGUCUCCCCUCCCCACUACUCCCCCUAGAGUACCGGUGCACCCUGUCUCCCCUCCCCACGACUCCCCCUAGAGUACCGGUGCACCCUGUCUCCCCUCCCCACGACUCCCCCUAGAGUACCGGUGCACCCUGCCUCCCCUCACUCCCCUCGGUAUCUGUGUCAUCUUGGUGGGAUGUUUGUGUGUCUUGUGUUUAUUGAUUAAAUGUCUUCCCUUCCAGAACUUGCUUCCUGACUCUCAGUGUACAUCGUUACACCUUUACUUUUCCCUGAAGCAUUACAGAAAUAAAAACAAACCACUGAAGAAAAUACAAUCUUUGAGUGUUUUGAGUGAGUUUUGAGUAGAGACACUGAUGAAUAUGUUAAUUAGACAAUGAUCCAGGAUAAAACAUGUCAUAACUGACAGGAUAAAUGACAUGGAUAAAAUUCAACCAUCAAAACUGAGAACAACUUUAAAAUAAAGGGGAAGUUUAUUCAUUGUAUUAUUAUUGAUCCAUUGCAGAUGAUCCUACAUGUCAAUCAAACUGUGCUGUGAGAAUCAUGUUGCCUUCUAGACUCUCAGGCUGUGUUCCAAAYGGUUCCCKAUUCCCUAUGGGCCCUGGUCAAAAGUAGUGCACUACAUAGGGUUAAAGGGUACCAUGUGGGACACAAGCCAAGCCAGACACACAGAAGACACACAGGACUCAGGACAUCACAUGACAUACAUACACAUGGACAACAGCAUCUUUUAUCAACAAUACUGCAUCAUGAGGACAGUUACCACAUGAUGACAUGACAUCAUUAGAGCAUCACUGUCAAAGUGAAAGGGACAGACUGAUAAAAAACACCACUUAGAAAAUCACUAGACAGUAACAUCUGACAGUAGUGUUUAAUGUCCAGCAGCAAUACUAGUAGUAUCCCAUCCUAUUAUUCUCAAUGAUGCAUUUUAUACUCAUUUCAUUCAAGUCAUUUGAAUUAGAAAGAACAGAUUAUGCCAUGAAAAAUAUAAUCAUUGAAUGCAUGAAUUUAGCUGAAAACUAUAAACCAUCAUAAGAGUCUUUGGAGUCAAACAGUAAAACUCAGAUGAAAGACACCUUGGAGAUCCUGAUAUCAUCACAUUGUAACGUUGUUCCUUCUAACAGAAUGGUUGUUCCACCUAGUAGUCCAUCACAUUGUAACGUUGUUCCUUCUAACAGAAUGGCUGUUCCACCUAGUAGUCCAUCACAUUGUAACGUUGUUCCUUCUAACAGAAUGGCUGUUCCACCCUAGUAGUCCAUCACAUUGUACGUUUGUUCCUUGUAACAGUUUUAAUUGGCUGUUCCACCUAGUAGUCCAUCACAUUGUAACGUUUGUCCUUCUAAAUUGUAAAAGUCACCUGGCGGAAUAAGAACACCUCUCCACGCUCCCACG